rnacentral:rRNA from 1 species
UGAUCAUAAUAACUUAACGAAUCGCAUGGCCUUGUGCCGGCGAUGGUUCAUUCAAAUUUCUGCCCUAUCAACUUUCGAUGGUAGAGUAGUGGUCUACCAUGGUUUCAACGGGUAACGGGGAAUUAGGGUUCUAUUCCGGAGAGGGAGCCUGAGAAACGGCUACCACAUCCAAGGAAGGCAGCAGGCGCGCAAAUUACCCAAUCCCGACACGGGGAGGUAGUGACAAUAAACACUGAUACAGGGCUCUUUUGGGUCUUGUAAUUGGAAUGAGUACAAUUUAAAUCCCUUAACGAGGAACAAUUGGAGGGCAAGUCUGGUGCCAGCAGCCGCGGUAAUUCCAGCUCCAAUAGCGUAUAUUAAAGUUGUUGCAGUUAAAAAGCUCGUAGUUGAACCUUGGGCCUGGCUGGCCGGUCCGCCUCACCGCGUGCACUGGUCCGGCCGGGCCUUUCCUUCUGGGGAGCCGCAUGCCCUUCACUGGGUGUGUCGGGGAACCAGGACUUUUACUUUGAAAAAAUUAGAGUGUUCAAAGCAGGCCUAUGCUCGAAUACAUUAGCAUGGAAUAAUAGAAUAGGACGUGUGGUUCUAUU